rnacentral:lncRNA from 1 species
GCCAUUCAUAAACAGGAGGAACGUAGUCGUCCCGGCUGGGCACCUCUGCAAAGACGAACUACUCCCGGGGGCGCUUUCUCCGGGGAGAAGUGCACUUGAUGCGUGUGACGGGUCCGGAAACCUAGCGGGGCGGCCGGGCGUGUCCGUGUCCGCCCAGGGCUUAGCAGAGGGUGGCGGGCAUGGCCUGGACGGCGCGGGAUCGAGGGGCCUUAGGGCUGCGACUGCUGCUGUCUGGGCUCUGCUUGUGCAUGGCUCAAGGUGACCGAGGUCCCAAGGGCCCCCCGGGGCCCCCCCGGGUCCUGCUGGAGAACCGGGCAAGCCAGGAGCUCCGGGCAAGCCGGGCACGCCGGGCGCCGACGUGAGUAGGCGGGGCGGGGCGGGGCGGGGCGGGGGCUCUGCGGGAGGGGCGAGGGGUGCAGGCCGCGGGAGCCGGGCUGCCCGCG